CAGUUUUGACGCAUACAAUCUCCUAAACAGUGAUUCAACAAAAGGAAGGAAAUUGCACCUUAAUUGUACAAGAAAGCUAAGAUGAUGAGCUGACUUACCGCAGGAAAGACUAGAGUUUAAUAACGUUGAGAAUGGCGUCGGGUUCUGGAGGAGACAAGAAAGUUGAGCUGACUUACUUCAGGAAAGACUAGUUUUGAUAACGUUGAGAAUGGCGUCGGGUUCAGGAGGAGAUAGGAAACGGGUACGACUGGAUAGAACAACACAACGU